rnacentral:rRNA from 1 species
ACGCACGCUGGCGGCGUGCUUAACACCUGCCAGUCGAACGAAAAGAGGGAAAGAGCUUGCUCUUUCCGGAAUUGAGUGGCAAACGGGUGAGUAACACGUAAACAACCUGCCUUCAGGAUGGGGACAACAGACGGAAACGACUGCUAAUACCGAAUAAGUUCCAAGAGCCGCAUGGCCCAUGGAAGAAAAGGUGGCCUCUACCUGUACGCUAUCGCCUGCAGCGGGGUUUGCGUCUGAUUAGCUGGUUGGAGGGGUAACGGCCCAACAAGGCGACGAUCCGUAGACGGGCUGAGAGGAUGGAUGGGCACACUGGAAACGAGACACGGGCCAGGACUCCUAGGGGAGCAGCAGGGGGGAAAUUUUCGAAAUGGGGGAAAGCCUGACGGAGCAACGCCGGGGGGGGGAUGACGGCCGUCGGGUUGUAAAACUCCGUGAACCGGGACGAAAAGGCAGAGUGCGAAGAACAAACUGCAUUGACGGUACCGGAAAAGCAAGCCACGGCUAACUACGUG